UACGUAGGAGGCGAGCGUUGUUCGGAUUUACUGGGCGUAAAGGGCGCGUAGGCGGCCACCGCAAGUCGACUGUGAAAUCUCCGGGCUUAACCCGGAAAGGUCAGCCGAUACUGCGGGGCUAGAGUGCAGAAGGGGCAACUGGAAUUCUCGGUGUAGCGGUGAAAUGCGUAGAUAUCGAGAGGAACACCUGCGGCGAAGGCGGGUUGCUGGGCUGACACUGACGCUGAUGCGCGAAAGCUAGGGGAGCGAACGGG
rnacentral:rRNA from 1 species